rnacentral:rRNA from 1 species
UACGUAGGGUGCGAGCGUUGUCCGGAAUUAUUGGGCGUAAAGAGCUUGUAGGCGGUUUGUCGCGUCUGCUGUGAAAAUCCGGGGCUCAACCCCGGACUUGCAGUGGGUACGGGCAGACUAGAGUGUGGUAGGGGAGACUGGAAUUCCUGGUGUAGCGGUGAAAUGCGCAGAUAUCAGGAGGAACACCGAUGGGCGAAGGCAGGUCUCUGGGCCACUACUGACGCUGAGAAGCGAAAGCAUGGGGAGCGAACAGG